GCUGUUGGUCCUGACAAGGGGAUCGACGGAGAAUAGAGAAUCGGGUGAAAAUCCCGAACGGUACCGCCACUGUAAGCGCGGAGAUCGUACAAACAGACGAAAGUCGGUCAUUGAAGAGGAAUCUUUGAGAAGGCCAUGUACGGUUGACGAUGCGUAAGUCAGGAGACCUGCUUGAAU
rnacentral:ncRNA from 1 species